AGUGAACGCUGGCGGUAGGCCUAACACAUGCAAGUCGAACGGCAGCACAGUAAGAGCUUGCUCUUACGGGUGGCGAGUGGCGGACGGGUGAGGAAUACAUCGGAAUCUACUUUUUCGUGGGGGAUAACGUAGGGAAACUUACGCUAAUACCGCAUACGACCUACGGGUGAAAGCAGGGGAUCUUCGGACCUUGCGCGAUUGAAUGAGCCGAUGUCGGAUUAGCUAGUUGGCGGGGUAAAGGCCCACCAAGGCGACGAUCCGUAGCUGGUCUGAGAGGAUGAUCAGCCACACUGGAACUGAGACACGGUCCAUACUCCUACGGUAGGCAGCAGUGGGGAAUAUUAGACAAUGGGCGCAAGCCUUAUCCAGCCAUACCGCGUGGGUGAAGAAGGCCUUCGGGUUGUAAAGCCCUUUUGUUGGGAAAGAAAAGCAGCAGGUUAAUACCCCGCUGUUCUGACGGUACCCAAAGAAUAAGCACCGGCUAACUUCGUG
rnacentral:rRNA from 1 species